rnacentral:rRNA from 1 species
UACGUAGGGCGCGAGCGUUGUCCGGAAUCAUUGGGCGUAAAGAGCUCGUAGGCGGCCGGUUGCGUCUGCUGUGAAAUCCCGGGGCUUAACCCCGGGCGUGCAGUGGAUACGGGCUGGCUGGAGGCAGGCAGGGGAGAAUGGAAUUCCCGGUGUAGCGGUGAAAUGCGCAGAUAUCGGGAGGAACACCGGUGGCGAAGGCAGGUCACUGGGCCGCAACUGACGCUGAGGAGCGAAAGCAUGGGGAGCGAACAGG